rnacentral:misc_RNA from 1 species
AAAUGCGAUAAGUAAUGUGAAUUGCAGAAUUCAGUGAAUCAUCGAAUCUUUGAACGCACAUUGCGCCCGCCAGCACUCUGGCGGGCAUGCCUGUUCGAGCGUCAUUUCAACCCUCAGAACCCCUUGCGGGAUCUGGCGUUGGGGAUUGGCAUCCAGCCAGCCCCGAAAUCUAGCGGCGGUCCCUCCGCGACCUCCCCUGUGCAGUAGCGAUACCUCGCAGCGGGACAGCGGUCUGACCACGCCGUAAAACCCCCAACUUCUCAAGGUUGACCUCGAAUCAGGUAGUAAUGCCCGCUGAACUUAAUC